GCACUUAUUAAGUGCUUGUUGGUUCAAAUACAAAGAACAGUGAGAUGAGUUAUUUUUUUUUUCAAUCUGCAUGGUACAGAGGAGAAAUCUCAAAUCCCAGCCCAUGGGCCAUGCUGACCUGAUUACAGACAGCCCUAUAAGGGUCUUGAAUGCUUUCUAACACAGUCCAUACGGGAUGCAGCCUCAAGCAAUCCUAGAAGCAUUUGGCCUUCCAAACACAUUCACAGGAGACCAGAGAGCAGAUUCUGUAAACAAAGUCGAAGCCAGAGACCAUGCAAAGGCAUAUGGCUCAAGAAGGAUGAGAAAUUCUCAAGAAUGAAAUUAUAAAGUAUGAUCAAAAAUUAUCCCACUGAAGACAAACAAUGAAUGUGGCUGCAUAAGGUUCUCUUUGAUAAUCUCACGAUUAAAAUGUUUUUGCAAACCCCCC
rnacentral:lncRNA from 1 species